rnacentral:tRNA from 1 species
AAAGAUGUAGUAUAAGUGUAUAAUACAUUUCAUUUACACUGAAAAAAUAUUUUAUAAAUAAGUCAUCUUUA